UGGGGAAUAUUGCACAAUGGGCGCAAGCCUGAUGCAGCCAUGCCGCGUGUAUGAAGAAGGCCUUCGGGUUGUAAAGUACUUUCAGCGGGGAGGAAGGGAGUAAAGUUAAUACCUUUACUCAUUGACGUUACCCGCAGAAGAAGCACCGGCUAACUCCGUGCCAGCAGCCGCGGUAAUACGGAGGGUGCAAGCAUUAAUCGGAAUUACUGGGCGUAAAGCGCACGCAGGCGGUUUGUUAAGUCAGAUGUGAAAUCCCCGGGCUCAACCUGGGAACUGCAUCUGAUACUGGCAAGCUUGAGUCUCGUAGAGGGGGGUAGAAUUCCAUGUGUAGCGGUGAAAUGCGUAGAGAUGUGGAGGAAUACCGGUGGCGAAGGCGGCCCCCUGGACAAAGACUGACGCUCAGGUGCGAAAGCGUGGGGAGCAAACAGG
rnacentral:rRNA from 1 species